GGACCUCCACCUCCUUGCUGUUGAUUGAGGUCUCAAAUUGAAGGUUAGGUACUGUGGGGUUUUGGUUGGUGGUCAGUAAUUGCAUCCGGGCAGAAAGGUAGAUUCUAGCAGCUCAUCCGGCAGGACCUCUUUCCGGCAGCCCUCUUGUUGACUGAGCUUGAGGAUUUUGAUUCGAGACAGACGUCUUGACGUUGGAUUGUUGAGAUUGUACCUUCUAUUUGAGGCGGGUACCCUUUGACUUAUCUUUUGAUACUGUCUUAUGAUAUGUAUAGUUUAUAUAUAGUUACUAGUGAUAGAUGGUAGAUUUAUUUCUU